GAUGAACGCUAGCGGCAGGCUUAACACAUGCAAGUCGAGGGGUAACAGGGAGUGCUUGCACUCCGCUGACGACCGGCGCACGGGUGCGUAACGCGUAUGCUACCUACCUUUUACAGGGGGAUAGUCAAGAGAAAUUUUGAAUAAUACCCCAUACGAUCUUAGUCACACCUGUGAUUUAGAGGAAAACUUCGGUGGUAAAAGAUGGGCAUGCGUCCUAUUAGUUAGAUGGUGAGGUAACGGCUCCCCAUGACUACGAUAGGUAGGGGUCCUGAGAGGGAGAUCCCCCACACUGGUACUGAGACACGGACCAGACUCUUACGGGAGGCAGCAGUGAGGAAUAUUGGACAAUGGAGGCAACUCUGAUCCAGCCAUGCCGCGUGCAGGAAGACUGCCCUAUGGGUUGUAAACUGCUUUUAUACAGGAAGAAACACUCCCUCGUGAGGGGGCUUGACGGUACUGUACGAAUAAGGAUCGGCUAACUCCGUGCCAGCAGCCGCGGUAAUACGGAGGAUCCAAGCGUUAUCCGGAAUCAUUGGGUUUAAAGGGUCCGUAGGUGGUUUGCUAAGUCAGAGGUGAAAUCCUGCCGCUUAACGGUAGAACUGCCUUUGAUACUGGCAAACUUGAGUUAUUGUGAAGUAGUUAGAAUGUGUAGUGUAGCGGUGAAAUGCAUAGAUUUUACACCGAAUACCGAUUGCGAAGGCUGAUUACUAACAAUAUACUGACACUGAGGGACGAAAGCCUGGGUAGCGAACAGGAUUAGAUACCCCUGGUAGUCCACGCCGUAAACGAUGGUCACUAACUGUUUGACUAACAUUGGGUGAGUUGAGUGGCUAAGCUAAAAGUGAAAAGUUGACCCCCCCUGGGGAAGUACGCUCCCCAAAAUUGAAACUCCAAAGGAAUUUGAAAGGGGGCCCCGCACAAACCGCUGGAACAAAGGGGGUUAAUUUUAAUGAUUUCCCGAGGAACCUUUCCCCGGGGCUUAAAAUGUAAGUU
rnacentral:rRNA from 1 species